rnacentral:sRNA from 1 species
CCGUAUCUGAAAGAUCGGGAUACUCAUCAAAUAAAUUCAGAAAACACGGAAAGCCUUCACUUGUCAAUGGCGGGCCACAAUCGAAAGACAGCCGCAAGGCCGGUGGAUUACAAAGACAGUGAGACUACCAAACCUUAUUCGUUAAGGAGUUUUCAUCAUCUUCAGGUACGGUCUUUUU